ensembl:lncRNA
GCUCCUUGUUUAGUUCAGUUCAGUCUGCCUGUGCCUUUGUGAGAUAUUGUUCAUUUUGACUCUACUAAGCCUUUUCCUAGUUAUAGCCUGCAGUCCUAGUUUUGAUUCACCUGCCUGUUUGCCUACCUGUGUAUGACCAUUGCCUGCCUGUGACCAGGAUUCCUGCCUUCUGUGAAGGCGAAAUAAACACCUGCCACGCUACUUCCAAAACUUGGUGGAUUUGUUCAGCAGUGUCGUAGGGACCCCCUACCAUAUCAGGAGCGGAAGGUGGAGGCAGUAUGUGGCCAGGAACCAGUCCCACUUCAGAUGGAGCCCCCUGACUAACAGACAGGUUGAUGCAGAUGGAGUCCCCUGACUAACAGACAGGUUGAUACAGAUGGAGUCCCCUGACUAACAGUCAGGUUGAUACAGAUGGAGCCCCCUGACUAACAGACAGGUUGAUACAGAUGGAGCCCCCUGACUAACAGACAGGUUGAUACAGAUGUCUGAACCAGAUGAGACCUUUCACUCAGCAUUACAAUUAUACAAGACACAGUAUUACUUUUUAUCGUCAUUUUAUUUUAUUGAAUGGUGGGGAACGAUGACCACUCUGUAUAUUUUUCAAACACCAUACAAAGGGAUGACAACUAACAUGUACCACCAGACAAAAUGCUGAUUAGUACAGUAUCUGUGUCGGCUAUGAAUGACAAGAUGAAAGAUGUGUAAUAUUUGCACAUUGUUAUAUUAGCAGAACACUGCUUCUACUGUAUUAUGUGAAGGAUGUGAAGUAUUAUGUGAAGGUUUAUUCUACAUGGAACUGUUACACGUUAAAGUUAUGUUUAGAAUAUCUACAUAAGUUCAGCAAUUGUAUUCUUCUCAUAUUACUAUGUAGGCUACUGACCAAUUAAAAGCUUCCUCCUGGAAGAAGCUUGGCCAGUACAUAUGAGAAGAGUGCCAUCUUCCUGUAUCUAACAUCUGCCUGUAGCUACACCACCCCUCCGGCCACCUGACUGCAUCUGUCCAUAACCUUUAAUAGAUUACAUAGGUGGAAGAGAAUUCAUCACCCACUGGAGACUUGAAGACAGAACCUCACCCAGAGAGCUCUGCAUGUCAGUCUGGUUAGACAGACAGAACCUCACCCAGAGAGCUGUGCAUGUCAGUGUGGUUAGACAGACAGAACCUCACCCAGAGAGCUGUGCAUGUCAGUGUGGUUAGACAGACAGAACCUCACCCAGAGAGCUGUGCAUGUCAGUCUGGUUAGACAGCCAAAUCCUUAGAAAUAGAACAGAAUGCCAUACUAGUUCUGGGACAGUUGAAGUUGUACCAAAGAUGUUUAUGCUCCAUGUUCUAUCUGUGGUUGUACUCUCACACAACUUUUAUGAAUGUACUAGGUGUAUGCAUACUGUCUUUAUAAACAAAUCAAUAUUAUAGCCUAUUUACAACAGAACGUGUUUUGUCUUUGUGACACAAACACACCCGUUAAUUUUUUUAAUAAAUGUGUCUACGCUCAAGCUAGGCAUGUCUGUGUAAUGUCCACAUGUAGGCUACACCUGUAGGGGGUAUUAGUUUUGGGAUGUGUCCCCCGUGAAAGAUC